GGUGCGAGGAUCUGAAUGGUAUUAUUACCCGGUGAACCUGCAUCCAUCUUGAUCGGUGGAAACAUGUUUGUUCUAAGCAAUGAGAACGCAACCUUCUGAUCGUGCAGCUACAAUGUUACUCCGCAACAAUCCAGACUCAGAUGAGAGCAUUGAUGAAGAUGUUGAAGAGUUAAACGACGUUUUCCCCAACAAUUACAAUGUCGUUUCAGUGGACGCCACCAACAAGCAAGAAUUGCCUCUUCCAGUGAGGUUGGAAUUUCUAAAAGGAAUCUGUAAUCAGAAUGUGGCUGGGAAAGGCACCACUUUAUCAUCUUCAUCAUUUGAGAUACCCCUUGAAGAUGAGGUUGAAGUGCCUGACUUCAAGGAGGGAGACUUCGGUGACAUCACGGGUGAGAUAGUUGCCAAUUCAAGUGAUGAAGAUAUCAUUUCUCAAGAUGAGGGUAGCACUGUCCUGUCAGCAAGACAGCUUCACAAAUGUGGUCCUCGAUUUAUCAGAAAUCAACAAGUUAGAGAUACAAAUGGAAACUCCGAAGCAUUGUUACAUUCCAAAGAAAGUGCUUCAUGUUCAGCAUCCCAUGCUACAUGCUCCAAAUCAAAUAGAUCCGGCCUCUGGAGCAAAGCUAAGCCAAGACUUUCACACAAAUCUGGGCACUUUGGUCCUUCAAUCUCCAAUAUUGAUAGACUACCUGAAAUUAUGAAAGCUGUUGAUCCUAAGGCUUCUGCAAAUUUAGAAGGAAAUUUUCUUGAAAAUGAUGGCAGAAUCAAAAUAAAUUCAGGCACUGAGCCCGAUGAAACAGAAGACCUUGCACAUGGAUUUAAUCAGCGCUCGAUGACUGAUCUUUUUGAUAAUCUCCAAGAUAAGAGUGAUCUGUAUUUUCAACAUGAUAGUCAAAGACGAGGAAAAACAGUGCAGCUUUUUGAGAAUAGUAGAUCCCACUUGCAAGACACCGGUAUUGACUGUGAAAACUCUCCCGAGCCUGUAGAUAGUGGAUCAUCAAGUGACAAUGAGGUAACUGAUCGAAAUAUGAAAAAUACUUUUCCCAGAAAGAAAAUGCAGACCAUGGCUGAUCGAUUUCAAGAAGCUUUGGGUACUUCCUCUGUUAUCGGUGAAGGGACUCUUGUUGGAGCACUUAAUUCAUUGAGAGCUGGAAUAUUUGGAAAACUACAGCAGGUGUUGCUGAAAGAAAAAGAAAUAGACAUGGACUUCCGCAAAAAGUUACAAGCUGGAGCUAGGCCAGAUAGUGAACUUGGCUGUGUUGAUGUAAAAAUCAUUUCAAGAUACCUGGACGGAAAGCUGUGUGUUUGUCAUUGCUCAUUUGGCAAGUACACUGAGGUGAGAAUUUUCUAUUACAAGAUAAUUCCAAAGGAAUGAGGUUUGGUGGCAGCAAAAGUGGUCAAAGCACCAUUAUCUUCAGUCAAAGGGUUUGCGAUAACGUUGACGUUGAAGUUGGGAACUUGAUCCGUAUUCACCCUCCGUGGAAGGAAGUUCAAGUGGGAAAUGAUAAUAUUAUCUUGUGCACUUAUUUCUCCAAAAUUUCAUUCCCAGUUUGAUUCACGGUAGUCAGAGCAGACAAGCAGCAUGUAGCAUGUUCAUUUUAGUUUCUUACAAAUCAACGAAAAUGGUGCAAACCUCCGUUUGUAGUGAAUAGAUUAUAAAACAAAUAUACUGAUGUUCAGCUUAUUUGAAAAUGAGUUCUUAAUUAAAAUAUCGGAACUAGGAAAAGGAUAGCCCUUCUUUCUUUUGACUCAUGAAUCAAAUGGAACCUUUGAAUAGUACAAUUAGAGUAUGUACUGGCUGGCUUAUAACCUGUAUAUUGGCUUGGCAAUGGAGAAAAUUAUUUUAGGAGUGUCUGACAAAA